AUGGCUCAGAUGAACGCUGGCGGCAGGCCUAACACAUGCAAGUCGAGCGGAUGAAGGGAGCUUGCUCCCGGAUUAGCGGCGGACGGGUGAGUAAUGCCUAGGAAUCUGCCUGGUAGUGGGGGGACAACGACUCGAAAGGGUCGCUAAUACCGCAUACGGUCCUACGGGAGAAAGUGGGGGGAUCUUCGGACCUCACGCUAUCAGAUGAGCCUAGGUCGGAUUAGCUAGUAGGUGAGGUAAUGGCUCACCUAGGCAACGAUCCGUAACUGGUCUGAGAGGAUGAUCAGUCACACUGGAACUGAGACACGGUCCAGACUCCUACGGGAGGCAGCAGUGGGAAUAUUGGACAAUGGGCGAAAGUCUGAACCAGCCAAGUAGCGUGCAGGAUGACGGCCCUAUGGGUUGUAAACUGCUUUUAUACAGGGAUAAAGUGAGGGACGUGUCCCUUUUUGUAGGUACUGUAUGAAUAAGGACCGGCUAAUUCCGUGCCAGCAGCCGC
rnacentral:rRNA from 1 species